AUCUAUUUAGUAUAAUAAGUACAUUUGACUUCCAAUCAAAAAGAUUGAUAUUUAUCAAAACAGAUA
rnacentral:tRNA from 1 species